CCAUUUUGUUUUCGAUCGUUAAGUGGGCACGUGGUGGAGCGUUGGUGUGUCAGGGGUGUCGACUUCUUCCACAAACUAUUUAAGAGACAGCAGCAGGAGGGACUGGACUGGAUUGUAGAAAACUUCAAGAGUUAAGGAGUGCGGAGUGCUGCUCAGGUGCCUUUGUUUCAGGUCAUAGUCUCUGUUCUAUAUAGCAGCCAACCACAAGGGUUGAUUG
rnacentral:lncRNA from 1 species